CCUACGGGUGGCUGCAGUGGGGAAUAUUGCACAAUGGGGGGAACCCUGAUGCAGCAACGCCGCGUGGGUGAAGAAGUACUUCGGAUUGUAAAGUCCUGUCAGCAGGGAAGAAAAUGACGGUAUCUGACCAAGAAGCCCCGGCUAACUACGUGCCAGCAGCCGCGGUAAUACGUAGGGGGCAAGCGUUAUCCGGAUUUACUGGGUGUAAAGAGCGCGUAGACGGCAAGGCAAGUCUGGAGUGAAAGCCCGUGGCCUAACCAUGGGACUGCAUUGGAAACUGUGUUGCUGGAGUGCAGGAGGGGUAAGUGGAAUUCCUGGUGUAGCGGUGAAAUGCGUAGAUAUUAGGAGGAACACUGGUGGCGAAGGCGGCUUACUGGACUGUAACUGACGUUGAGGCGCGAAGGCGUGGGGAGCAAACAGGAUUAGAUACCCGAGUAGUC
rnacentral:rRNA from 1 species